UCACCAGCCAGGCUCCUGGCUAAAAUCCAGCUCUAAGCUGGAUUUUAGCCUAAGCCUGGCUGUAAA
rfam:Neotoma lepida isolate 417 scaffold_10621, whole genome shotgun sequence.